CAGCAAGGAAUGCCAGCCUGGGGUUCGUCCACCUUCAAGGAUGAUGAAGAUUUCAUGAGAGAAGAAGCAUGCACCUGAAUUCACAGAAGGAUGACUUUUAAAAGGGUAUUUGAAAGCUUCAGUGAACCUACCCGUGGAGGAUUUGUCAAGCUGGAACAUAUCUGUGGAGGAUUUGCCAAGCUGGAACUACAUUUCCCAUCAUCCCCUUCCCUCGUUGCUUCUAGGUUAAAGUUGGCCACGAAAGGGAGAAGUUGAAGCUGCCGCCACAGGGCUCUGAGGGUCAGUGGAGGCGGAGGUGCUAUGAAGCCCUUGCACAUCAUCAAUGACGUUUGGUUCACCUUGCUGGUGUGACAUAACAGCUGGUCAACUGCUGGGAGGCAGGGAGGGGUAGCGGAAAGCCAUCGGCUGGAUUUCGGAGGACAAGGAGCACCAAGCCUUAGUACAUGGAUUGGUGACCCAGGUGGACACAGGUGGUCCAGAGAGUCAUUUACAGUGACGGGCAAAUGAUUCAGCAGAAGAGCAUCCCUAGUAUUUCUCUCCUACUAAGACAUUGUCCCAGGAUCUCUUUGACCUGACAACUAGGGCCAUUUGCCUAUUCAAAGGAGCCCCAUCUUCCCCAGGGCGAAGGGCAAGAAAUGGCCCAUCUCAGUAUUCAGAACGCCCAGUGCCAAGCUGUGAGUCUGUCUAUCUUUCUGUGUGUGUAUGCUAACCAUUAACCUCCAAUGUCAGUAUGAUGGCUCAUUUUAUGCGUCAACUUGACUGGGCUGUGGAAUGCCCAGGUUAAAUAUCAUUUGUGCAUGUGUCUGUGAGAGUGUUUCCAGAUGAGACUGGCUUUUAACGUGGUGACCUCAGUAAAAGAGAUUUCCCUCCCAAAUGGGGGUGGGCACCAUCCAAUCCUUUGAGGCACUGAAUAGAAGAGAAAACAGUGCAAGUCAAAUUUCCAGAGAAAUGUUCCAGGGUCAAUUUCCAAGGUGGGGUCCCCUUCUCAGAAGUCAGAUUUUCAGAGUGACUGGAUCCCAGCAUUCCUGGGAAAUACAUCUCAUGAGUUUAGGUUGGCUAGGGAAGAGAAAGGGGCUGAAGUCUUUUUCUGGAGGCGGACACUCUGUGUUGGAGCCUCCCAGGGGCCUGUAGGCCUCCCAUUAACUUGGAUGGAGAAAAGACUUCUUUUCUGGGACUUACCCUUCCUGUCACAUUCAGGAACAGUUUCUCAUUUUGUAAUUGUGUUUCAUGUAAUAAACAUGAGUAAGAGAAUCAGACUUCAUCCUCGCUCUCCACCCUGGACACCUCUGGCUCUUGGUCCUCUCAUCUUCCCACAGCAUGGACUGCAACAGCACUACCAACAACAGAAGCAUCUCUUGAACAAUAAAUGCCAGCCACUGCCCUGGGACAGUCUGGUCACCAGGGUCCCUCAGUAUGGGAAGGAUGGCUUGGGAAAAAUAAGAGUAAACUACAACAGGAAGUGAGUGAAUAAGAACAGGAUGGUAAUUGUGCACAUAAGUGCAAGUUCAUACCCGCAGCUGCCAGAGAUGCGGAAGUUCUUGGGGAUCAGCCAUCACCACUUCCCUACUCUGCAGAACUCAAUAUAGUUCUAGAGAAAGCAAAAGACUUCCAAAAGUGAUACUGGUUGAUGUGACUUUCAUACUCGGAAGUGCUUAUGAAAAAUUGAAAUAUUUUCUGCCCUGCACAUUCGGAUGAACUUGGCAUUGAACUUUUUCCCUGGAAAAUAAUGUUUCCCACUGAAUCAAUUCCUUUAUGGAUACAGGGCUAUUUGAGUUUUUCACUUUGUCCUGAGAUGGUUUCAGUAAAAUAUACAUUUUUU